rnacentral:rRNA from 1 species
UUCUACAGCCAUAGCACCCUGAAUGUACCUCAUCCUGUCUGAUCUCAGAAGAUAAGCAGGAUGGGGCCGGUUAGUACUUGGGUGAGUGAUCAGAUAAACCUUAGAGUGACACCAGGGU